rnacentral:rRNA from 1 species
CCUACGGGAGGCAGCAGUGGGGAAUUUUGGACAAUGGGCGCAAGCCUGAUCCAGCCAUGCCGCGUGUGGGAAGAAGGCCUUCGGGUUGUAAACCACUUUUGUCAGGGAAGAAACGGUCUGAACUAAUACUUUGGACUAAUGACGGUACCUGAAGAAUAAGCACCGGCUAACUACGUGCCAGCAGCCGCGGUAAUACGUAGGGUGCAAGCGUUAAUCGGAAUUACUGGGCGUAAAGCGUGCGCAGGCGGCUUUGCAAGACAGAUGUGAAAUCCCCGGGCUCAACCUGGGAACUGCAUUUGUGACUGCAUGGCUAGAGUACGGUAGAGGGGGAUGGAAUUCCGCGUGUAGCAGUGAAAUGCGUAGAUAUGCGGAGGAACACCGAUGGCGAAGGCAAUCCCCCGGACCUGUACUGACGCUCAUGCACGAAAGCGUGGGGAGCAAACAGGAUUAGAUACCCUGGUAGUCCACGCCCUAAACGAUGUCAACUGGUUGUUGGGAGGGUUUCUUCUCAGUAACGGAGCUAACGCGUGAAGUUGACCGCCUGGGGAGUACGGCCGCAAGGUUGAAACUCAAAGGAUUGACGGUGNGAGAGCGACGACGACGACGACGGAGGAGG